CCUACGGGAGACUGCAGUGAGGAAUAUUGGUCAAUGGACGAGAGUCUGAACCAGCCAAGUAGCGUGAAGGAUGACUGCCCUAUGGGUUGUAAACUUCUUUUAUAUGGGAAUAAAAUGUUCCACGUGUGGGUUUUUGUAUGUACCAUAUGAAUAAGGAUCGGCUAACUCCGUGCCAGCAGCCGCGGUAAUACGGAGGAUCCGAGCGUUAUCCGGAUUUACUGGGUUUAAAGGGAGCGUAGGUGGAUUGUUAAGUCAGUUGUGAAAGUUUGCGGCUCAACCGUAAAAUUGCAGUUGAAACUGGCAGUCUUGAGUACAGUAGAGGUGAGCGGAAUUCGAGGUGUAGCGGUGAAAUGCUUAGAUAUCACGAAGAACUCCGAUUGCGAAGGCAGCUCACUGGACUGCAACUGACACUGAGGCUCGAAAGUGUGGGUAUCAAACAGGAUUAGAUACCCCUGUAGUC
rnacentral:rRNA from 1 species